CUUGACUGUAUCCUGGAAUUGGGUUCGGGCUUUUCUUGCGCAGCCUAGGUGGGAGGCUAUGAAGAUUUCCUUCCGGGGAAGUUGGAGCCAUCAGUGAGAGACCACUCUGGAGAGGCUAGAAUCCUAAUGGUGAUCCUUGAAUCAGGACACUUGACAGUUUCAGGUGGGCAGUUUUUCUGGGGCGGAAGCCUCAUAAAGGGUAACUGAGGCGCGCAAAGGUCCCCUCAGUCUGGACGGAAAUCAGACAACGAGUGUAAAGGCAAAAGGGAGCUUGACUGCAAGACCCACAAGUCGAGCAGGAGCGAAAGCUGGCCUUAGUGAUCCGACGGUGCCGUGUGGAAGGGCCGUCGCUCAACGAAUAAAAGUUA
rnacentral:rRNA from 1 species